rnacentral:misc_RNA from 1 species
AAGUCGUAACAAGGUUUCCGGAUCAUUAACACGUAUCCAACGUUAAACAACCCUGUGAACCUUGAACGUGCUCCUGCAGACCCAUGAAAGCAGCAAUCCCUGGUAAAUCGUCAGGGACCUCUGCCGAAACGGCUGUUCCGAGCGCGGUGUAAGCGACCUGGCAUCCCCAAGCGAUCAGUGUCUGAAAGUGUCAUUGAUUGUGUAAGGAUGGCGCAGUAGAGGCCCACACGGCCGGCAACCGGGUCCCAGGGCUCACGCCCCUUUAUCACCCCACAGUUUCCGACUGGGCAGCCGAUAAUACGGACGCCGUAAAAAACUGAACAACUGUUAACAAUGGAUAUCUUGGUUCUC